UCCAGACUCCUACGGGAGGCAGCAGUGGGGAAUAUUGGGCAAUGGGCGCAAGCCUGACCCAGCAAUGCCGCGUGAAGGAAGAAGGCUUUCGGGUUGUAAACUUCUUUGACAGGGGAAGAGCAGAAGACGGUACCCUGAAAACAAGCCACGGCUAACUACGUGCCAGCAGCCGCGGUAAUACGUAGGUGGCAAGCGUUGUCCGGAUUUACUGGGUGUAAAGGGCGUGUAGCCGGGAAGGCAAGUCAGAUGUGAAAUCCGGAGGCUCAACCUCCGAAUUGCAUUUGAAACUGUUUUUCUUGAGUACUGGAGAGGCAGACGGAAUUCCUUGUGUAGCGGUGAAAUGCGUAGAUAUUAGGAGGAACACCAGUGGCGAAGGCGGCCUGCUGGACGACAACUGACGGUGAGGCGCGAAAGCGUGGGGAGCAAACAGGAUUAGAUACCCUCGUACG
rnacentral:rRNA from 1 species